UGAAGAGAGGAGCUUGCUCUUCUUGGAUGAGUUGCGAACGGGUGAGUAACGCGUAGGUAACCUGCCUUGUAGCGGGGGAUAACUAUUGGAAACGAUAGCUAAUACCGCAUAACAAUGAAUGACUCAUGUCAUUUAUUUGAAAGGGGCAAUUGCUCCACUACAAGAUGGACCUGCGUUGUAUUAGCUAGUAGGUGAGGUAACGGCUCACCUAGGCGACGAUACAUAGCCGACCUGAGAGGGUGAUCGGCCACACUGGGACUGAGACACGGCCCAGACUCCUACGGGAGGCAGCAGUAGGGAAUCUUCGGCAAUGGGGGCAACCCUGACCGAGCAACGCCGCGUGAGUGAAGAAGGUUUUCGGAUCGUAAAGCUCUGUUGUAAGUCAAGAACGAGUGUGAGAGUGGAAAGUUCACACUGUGACGGUAGCUUACCAGAAAGGGACGGCUAACUACGUGCCAGCAGCCGCGGUAAUACGUAGGUCCCGAGCGUUGUCCGGAUUUAUUGGGCGUAAAGCGAGCGCAGGCGGUUUGAUAAGUCUGAAGUUAAAGGCUGUGGCUCAACCAUAGUUCGCUUUGGAAACUGUCAAACUUGAGUGCAGAAGGGGAGAGUGGAAUUCCAUGUGUAGCGGUGAAAUGCGUAGAUAUAUGGAGGAACACCGGUGGCGAAAGCGG
rnacentral:rRNA from 1 species